rnacentral:lncRNA from 1 species
UCUGUUGUCUCCAAAUCAAAAACAAAACUCAACCUCUGUUAGAUCUCUCCAAAACAAAUCGAAGUUGUUCGCUCCAAAAAAAAAAAACAAUCUCUGAAUCAAGCAACCUAGCUCGAAAAAAUCGAAUCAAGCAACACGGAGACCAAGAAUCAACAUAUCUCGACUUCGAUUCGGUAAACCCUUAACUAUUAUCCAUCAACUCGUUCUGGGUUUUGACCUUGGACGAUUUCUAGGUUUUAUGUGGCCCAUUUAAGUCUCUUCACAAUUUGGGUUUUUUAGAGGGUUUGUUCCUUGUGUUAUUUCAUCUUUCUUUCCCGCACGAACAUUGAAAUCUCUUUGUCUGCUCGAUAGCCAUUGCCAGUGUAUAAGAGGUACAAUUUUCUUAAUUAAUCAUUACACUUUUUUCCCCUCUCACUCUCUAGUUUCCUUAGUUAUUUACAGAAAAUUUUUAUUUUUAUUUUAUUGAUAAUCUUUCUCAAAAUUUCAGUUUACCUUUUUUUAUUCUUUCGAACUCAUGUUUUAUUAAUUUAUUUACUGCUAUAGAAUUGUGCCUGGUUCUACUUUUUCCCAAUUGAUUUCUUAUUCGUGUGUUAUAGAAAAGCUCCAAUCUUUGUUGUUUUAGUGAUUUUUCUUGUCAUUAGUAUGAUUACUAGGGAAAGUGGUAAAGGGCAUUGUUAUUAUUAUUCUAAAUUUCAUGCAUAUUUUUCGUGUUCAUGUAGUAUCAUAAAGUCUGAUUUUUUCUUCAUCUUUUCACAGAGUAUUGAUACUAUCUUUUCCAUUUGCAGAAAUUUGAUGUCAGUUUGAAAAGUAUAAAGUAAUUUCUAUUGUUACUUUCCCCAACUAAUAGUUGCAUGUUCUUUCUAAUUGUUCUUAUAAUGAUCAAAAUCCAUGUCUGGUUUUCGCACUUUCGCACUUUACAAACAAAUUCACAUUUACUUGAGCAAAUGUUACUAAUUGGUCAAAAUGUCAACCAAUACCCAACAUUCAAACAACCCAGAAGAGAAAAUUGAACAAAUCCCAGAUAACAAAUUCGACCCAUCAUGCUAAUCAAAAAAAGAAAUCGACCCAUCAACAGUUGAAUUAAAUUGCAUACAUACAUAGAAUCCACUCCUUGGUAUUUGUGCCAGUAGACCAAUGACUCCGAAGGUCUGUCUAGAAUAUGUUCGCCAUUUUGAGAAGGAGCUUCUUGAGAGAUACCCUUCACUUUGUAGGGCAAAGAUUUCACCCUUGGCUCCAGCUCUACCUCCAUUUUCCCUUUCUUUCUCUCUACAAUCUCUCUCUCUCUAUAUAUAUGUAUAGAUAUAAGUAGAUAGUGUGUAAGUAGAAGGGUUCAGGUGUUGGAUUGAAUAUUCUGACUGGUUUCAUCUCGCAUAGCUCCUAAUCUAGUUGAUGAGGAUCUGCUGAUUUGGGACUUCUAGGUUUGUGAUAACGGAGCUUUAAGAGAUCUGAUACUUGAAACCAAAGGAUGGAAAGAAUCCGAAAUUCGGAAAAGGAAUCGACUGAAAGUGGAAGAAGAGGAAGAGGUGAGAAGUAAACCGAAGAUGAAGCGGAGGAAAAUAAAUCGGAAAGGAAUCGAAUGAGGGUUAAUUGAGGAGAUGGAAGAGCGGGGAAGGGGAAGAUGUGAUAUAUGAGAGGAGGAAUAACCGAGCUAACUCUUAAUUAAUUAAAAGUUGCUGAGUGAAUUUUUCAAUUGAUAACUGAGUUUUUUAAUUAAAAGGAUCGCCUUACGUCCCUUUAUAUAUAGGUAUUGAUAGUUGAUUGAUGGACUCGAUUAGAAAUUAAUUUUACAAUUUUACUUCCUGUGUGGAAAAAAAAGUCGAUCAUUAAAAUCUUUCUGUUAUGCAUAAGAAUAACCCGCCUUAAACUUUGCUAAUUUUUUUUAUCACAAAUAUUAUGAAUAUAAAAAAACAUGUAAUUUUAAUAAGUUAAAAGUAUUUAAAGUAAGGCUUUAAUAUAAAUAACUAUCAUGAAUUAUUAACAUUUUUUCAUCUCGGUGAUCAAACAAUUCAAUUUUUUCAAUUAGAUCAUUAAAUUAACAUUUUUUUCUUCACUUUUGUUCAAUUGAACAUGUCACGUCAUAAAUUGAUGGCGUGAACCCUUGAUUAGGCUAAUCAAUGUCCACGCUUAAUUAAAAAUUAGGCUUAAAUAUAAAUUAUUACCCUGAAGUAUUGACUUUUUUUAUUUUGGUGAUCGAUCUUUCAAUUUUUUUCACUUUAGUUCAAUUGAAGUUGAAGAUGGUGGGUUCACAGAGGCAGAAUGGUGAGAGUUAUUUACUUUUUAAUUACUAGUUUUUAAUUGGUUUUCUCCAUUAACUAAGAGCUCAAUUACAUGGAAAGUGAUUGUGUAAAAUUUGUUCUAAUAAUUUAAUACCAUUUUUUAUUUUGUGGAAAAAAAAUAGUUAAUGAUAGUUGCAAGUAAG